CAAAGGUUUGGUCCUGGCCUUGGGGUCAUUUAUUACUAAACUCACACAUGCAAGUCUCCGCGCCCCCGUGAAAACGCCCUUAAACCCCCUCACCCGGGGUAAGGAGCCGGUAUCAGGCACAACUUUUUGCCCAAGACGCCUAGCUACGCCACACCCACACGGGAAUUCAGCAGUGAUUAACAUUGAACAUAAGCGACAGCUUGAUUCAGUUAUAGUAAAAAGAGCCGGCAAAUCUGGUGCCAGCCGCCGCGGUUACACCACGAGGCUCAAAUUGACCCCCCUAUCGGCGUAAAGCGUGAUUAAAGUAACGAUACCCAUUAGAGUUAAACUUGGGCUAAGCUGUGAUACGCUUGCACACAAGAAACUCAGAAGCGAAAGCUACUCUAAUUUUACCCACUUGAACUCACGACAGCUGGGGCACAAACUGGGAUUAGAUA
rnacentral:rRNA from 1 species